rnacentral:rRNA from 1 species
GUCUACGGCCAUACCACCCUGAACGCGCCCGAUCUCGUCUGAUCUCGGAAGCUAAGCAGGGUCGGGCCUGGUUAGUACUUGGAUGGAAGUGGCCUGGUCAGCCC